AGCGAACGCUGGCGGCAGGCUUAACACAUGCAAGUCGAGCGGGGUGAUGGUGCUUGCACUAUCACUUAGCGGCGGACGGGUGAGUAAUGCUUAGGAAUCUGCCUAUUAGUGGGGGACAACAUCUCGAAAGGGAUGCUAAUACCGCAUACGUCCUACGGGAGAAAGCAGGGGAUCACUUGUGACCUUGCGCUAAUAGAUGAGCCUAAGUCGGAUUAGCUAGUUGGUGGGGUAAAGGCCUACCAAGGCGACGAUCUGUAGCGGGUCUGAGAGGAUGAUCCGCCACACUGGGACUGAGACACGGCCCAGACUCCUACGGGAGGCAGCAGUGGGGAAUAUUGGACAAUGGGGGGAACCCUGAUCCAGCCAUGCCGCGUGUGUGAAGAAGGCCUUAUGGUUGUAAAGCACUUUAAGCGAGGAGGAGGCUCUUUUGGUUAAUACCCAAGAUGAGUGGACGUUACUCGCAGAAUAAGCACCGGCUAACUCUGUGCCAACCGCCGCCGUAA
rnacentral:rRNA from 1 species